GGGGUGCCUAUCGGCUGUAACAGCAACUCCACGUGGAAGCCUCAAACCAUUCCAGUGGGGGGGCUGUUAUUUUGGAUGGGCACCCA